rnacentral:lncRNA from 1 species
ACGCCGGCGGGAGAACGUGUUUUUGGGGCGGGACCGCGUGAGGACUGGCGAAGUGGAGGGCGGGGCCGGGUAGGCGACUGGCGCUGGGGGCUUGGAACCCGUUGAUAACUGCUUGCAGUUCUAGUUAUAAUUAUUAUUAUAUACCAAUAGUCUUUUUCUUAUAACGUGAGGAAAAGUGUAUAAACAGUGUUUGUUGUUGUCUUGAGGCUCGCUACUGGGUUAUGGAGAGUUGAGCUCCCUGGCAAGUCCAUCAUUUGUGAGUCUGGUUUUCUGAAUGUUUUGUCAUAAUAAAACAUUUUAAAUGUGGUUGUUAUUUUUUUCUCUUCAAGGCACUCAAGGAGUACAGAUGCUUCCCUCUUUCGCUCCCUUAUCUUUUUUCCCAAGGCUCUUUGUCCUGUCUGCCCACAGAGCACUUCUCUGCAUUUCUUCUGAAAAACUCUAUUUUUACUAACCGUGGAUUUGAUAAACUGGUCAUUCAAUGCGAUCGAUAAGAUUUUUUCAACAAUGAGAAUGGAGCAGGGGGCUCUCACAUGUCCACAGGGGACACACCCGGUGGGAUAUAUUUUGGAUUCCUGGAAGGAGUCGAAGAUCAUAUGCCUCUCCCAGCUGUCCAUUGAGGAUAUCGAAGACGUGUGGAUAUUUGGUCUGAUGAUCACUGGAUUUCUCCUGAUUGGAGUGGGAGGAUAUCUGGUUUUCUGGAAAUUUGGGAAGACGGGAGCGAUUGGAGGGCGACCCGCACCCAUGGAAAGCAUCGUCCAUGUGGAGACUUCACAGACUGGGACGUUACUCGAGGUGAAUCGUAAGCUGGACAAUGUUCUAGCUGCAAUACCGGCAUCAGUGCACAAAAUGGAUGUCAUCUCGGAGAGAGUCACCGAAUGGAUAUCUCUCCAGCUCACUGGUUUUGGAAGAGACAAGGUGGGAGAGUCGACACCUUUUACAAGAGGAAAACCAGUCCAAGCUCUACUCAGACACUGAGAAGAACUGCACGGAGCCAGCCAUCCACGAGUUUCCAAGGGAUUACUUCACCAACCAAGAGCGAACGGAGGGCGCCGUGGGCCUGCAUGUCCUCUGU